CCCAUUUAGUGCGUGUUUUGGUGGCUCUGAUACUCCGCUCAUCGAGUAAUUUUUAUUUUUUCGUUAAAUAAUUCAUGUUAUUAUAGAAAACAGCCUUUUAAGUGGAGCUGCAGCCAGUGUACGAGUAUGAAAAAACAUUGAAAUUGAACAUUGAAUAUUUUGCUUUUGUUCGAGUUCUGCUUUCUUUUCUCGUCGGUCGGCCAUUUUGGAAAGGAAAGGUCUUUCACCGGCACCCAAUGCACAAAAUCAAAGGGCAGCAAAUGUCGGUUUAUCUCUCGGAUGCCAUUAAGGUAGCGCUCAUACUCAUCCAUUGACAGCUGCGUGAGGUCAAUGGCUGAUUCUGAUUGCGAUGCUCCUUCUGGUUCUCCCCUCUCGGCUUAAAUUUUAAUUACAGAAUUUUUGGGGUAAGAAAUGAUUUAAAUAAAGGUCAAGUCUUGGUCAGAGAUCCAACGCAACAUCAUUCAAUAUGCAGUUGGUGGCCUAAAACAAAGGCUACUGGUUCGGACAGAUAACAGCAGAACAUUUGGAGCAUUUGAAAACAGAUUUUUCAUGUUUGGAAAUCAGUAAAUAGAAAUAUAUCUAAACGA